AAUUAUUCAAAAACCUAUUUGUCUUUCGUCUAAAAUCUUGCCCAGGAAACAAGAUUAUAAACAAAUCAUUGUGUUUCUUUCAAUUUAUAUUCAAUUUAUAAACAACCUUUUGUUCUUUUCUUCUCCGUUCUCUUUUCUUCUCCUCUAUUUUCAAACAAAAAAGCGCACAGUCAAAACAAUGGACGCAACCGUCGACCACUACACGGUGCUAGGGUUACCUUCCGGCGAAGAAGGUGCAAACCUAACCGAAAAAGACAUCAACAAAGCCUACAAACUCAAGGCUCUAGAACUCCACCCUGACAAACGACCCGACGACCCCAACGCCGCCUCCAAUUUCCAACAGCUUCGAACCUCCUACGACAUCCUCAAAGAUGAAAAAGCUCGCAAGUUAUUCGACGACCUUCUCCGUGUCAAACGCGAUAACGAGCUCCGUCAAUCCCAGCGCGACGGAAAACGCCGCAAAAUGGUUUCUGAUCUUGAACGAAGAGAGCGAGACGCGUUUUCUCCCGAUCCCGCCGCCAAGGGGAGGGAAGACGAGGAUAGGAUUGCCAGGCAACUUAAGGAUGAGAUUGCUCGAAUUCGUGCUAUGCAUGCUAAGAAAGCUGUGCCUGGUUCUGGUUUUGAUUCAAAGAAAGAAAGUGGUGCUUCUGGUGGAGUUGACGGUGGUGGCGGUGGAAUUGAUCAAGAGAAGGCUCUGAAAGUUUCUUGGGAAAGGAUUGGUGAAGAUUAUUCAGCGGAGAACUUGAGGGAAUUGUUUUCAAAGUUUGGUGAAGUUGAAGAUGUUGUUAUCAAAGGGAGGAAGAAAAAGGGUUCUGCACUUGUUGUCAUGGCUACUAAACAAGGAGCUGUUGCUACAAUUGGAAGUGUGAUUGGUCAUCUUGCUAAUCCAUUGUUGGUUUUACCUCUUAAACCUGCAAUGGCUGCAGACUCUUGGGGUUCUCCGAAGUCUGUUGAACCUGAAGUGCCGAGUAAACUAGUUGGGUCUGGUUAUCAAGCUUUCGAGGAUUCUGUUCUAAUGAAACUGCAAAAGGCUGCAGCAAAGCAGAGGUGAUGGUGAAAGAUGUCAAACACUAAACAGACUAUUUGGAAUGGUAAUCGCUGAUUCACCAAUUUUAAUUCUUAGGAGUCUGCAACAUGUGGUGAUAUGAUUCAAUUCAAGAAUGAUGAAAACCAUACACUGGAAGUUGAAGGAGGUGUGGUUUUACUGUAGCCCUGGGUCUAUUACAAAUGUUGUUGGGCUGCAAAAAGAGAAAACAAAUGCCAGUUGAUGGAAAGUCAGAGAUCAAUGAUUCCCAAGGUUGCAUAAAAAAUUGAAUUCCAAUUUCAAUGUCAAUACUCAGUAUACAAGUCUUGUGUUCUGGGUCAGUCUGGAAUUGCUUUUGCUAUCUGUAUAUACAACACUAAAAUGGGAGUUUGUUUGGAUUUGCUUUUGCUAUUUGUAUACAACACUAAAAUGGGAGUUUAAUACACUUACAGGAGCGAAGCAGAAUGAAUAUUCCAUUGCCAUCGUUUGGGUAUUUUAAGACGGAGGGGAAGAAAUAUAGAUGAUGGUAAGUGAUAGAAUGAAAUUGAAUUCAUAUCACUCAAUUCUGCUUCCCUCCAUUCGAUUUUAAUUGAUCCAAAAAAAUGGAAAGGAACUUCAUUCCGCUCCAUUUUGUCACAUUCCAAGAGUACAAAAAGUGAUAAAGCUUUUGGGGAAUUUGAUAUCCAGCAAAGCUUACUCCCAACCCAAAAAGAUGAUAGCAGGCAAAAAUAGCAUUGGACAAAAAGAGUUCUCAUAGGCCUGUCUGUUUGUAAGAAAAAUAAAGGGUUAUAGAUAUAGAACAUGGAAUCGUGAAUACAAGGUGCUAGCUAUCAUGUUCAAUGAUUGUUACGUUAACUACUGUGUCACUAUUUUUGUUGA